AGAGUUUGAUCCUGGCUCAGGACGAACGCUGGCGGGUGCUAAUACAUGCAAGUCGAACGGGGUCCAACCAGUGGCAACACUGGGGACGACCCAGUGGCGAACGGGUGAGUAACACGUGAGGAACCUGCCCCGAAGACCGGGAUAACCCUUCGAAAGGAGGGCUAAUACCGGAUGUCCCCACCAGAUCGCAUGUUCUGGUGAGGAAAUGGAUUCCGCUUCGGGAGGGCCUCGCGGCCUAUCAGCUUGUUGGUGGGGUAACGGCCCACCAAGGCAUCGACGGGUAGCUGGUCUGAGAGGACGAUCAGCCACACUGGGACUGAGACACGGCCCAGACUCCUACGGGAGGCAGCAGUAGGGAAUCUUGCGCAAUGGGCGAAAGCCUGACGCAGCAACGCCGCGUGGGGGAUGAAGGCUUUCGGGUUGUAAACCCCUUUCAGUAGGGACGAAUCAAGACGGUACCUACAGAAGAAGCCCCGGCCAACUACGUGCCAGCAGCCGCGGUAACACGUAGGGGGCAAGCGUUGUCCGGAUUUAUUGGGCGUAAAGAGCUCGUAGGUGGUUCGGUAAGUUGGGUGUGAAAACUCCAGGCUCAACCUGGAGACGCCACCCGAUACUGCUGUGACUCGAGUCCGGUAGGGGAGCGUGGAAUUCCUGGUGUAGCGGUGAAAUGCGCAGAUAUCAGGAGGAACACCAGCGGCGAANNGGCGCUCUGGGCCGGAACUGACGCUGAGGANNGAAAGCGUGGGUAGCGAACAGGAUUAGAUACCCUAGUAGUCC
rnacentral:rRNA from 1 species